UGCGGGGUGGAGCAGCCUGGUAGCUCGUCAGGCUCAUAACCUGAAGGUCCCUGGUUCAAAUCCAGGCCCCGCUACCA
rnacentral:tRNA from 2 species